rnacentral:lncRNA from 1 species
AUCCAUUGAGAACAGCAGUUGUCAUGUAACAUUUUUGGUCCUUUCUUACAGCAAAGACUGAAGGAAGAGAAGGAAGCCAAACGGGCACGUUUGGAUGGUAGGCAUGCCUACUUAUUUGCAAUUAUAGCUUCCUGCAUAGACCUGGACAAAACUGAAGUGGAAGAUGCCAUUCUUGAGGGGAAUCAGAUUGAAAGAAUCGAUCAGCUUUUCACUGCUGGCGGUCUUCGUCACCUUAUAUUUUAUUAUCAGGAUGUGGAUGUGGCAGAAACAGGUAUCCAGACUUGGUGUUAUGUUACCCACAAAUGUGUUGCUAGGUUCAUCCAAGGAUGGCAUGAAGCUGAAGGCCACCCUUGGAGCUGACAUUUCCACCUUGGCCCAUGGGACAGAUGGGCCACCUACACUUCCAC